rnacentral:rRNA from 1 species
UACAGAGGUCCCAAGCGUUGUUCGGAUUCACUGGGCGUAAAGGGUGCGUAGGUGGUGAGGUAAGUUCGAUGUGAAAUCUCCGGGCUCAACCCGGAAAAGGCAUUGAAUACUAUCUUGCUCGAGGUUUGGAGGGGGGACUGGAAUUCUCGGUGUAGCAGUGAAAUGCGUAGAUAUCGAGAGGAACACCGGUGGCGAAGGCGAGUCCCUGGACAACACCUGACACUGAGGCACGAAAGCUAGGGGAGCAAACAGG